CUCAGCUCUCUGCCCCUCAGCCACUUUGUGACCCAGACCCCCUCCCUCUCCACUUCCUCCCAGGGCACCGCCCCUUUCUGCCUCCUGAGCAGGCUUAGAGUUCUCAGUGGAUGCCUCCUUUCAGUGCUUGCUUCCGUAUCCCAUGCCCUCACCUCUGCUUUCCUCCAGCAAGUCUGGGAAAUCCCCGUUCCUGGGUGAACCCUGCGUCUCCUCUGCUUUCUCCCCUCCUGCUUCUGUGCAGUCAAGCACUGCUGGCAGAGGCCCAGGUGAAUUCACCAUCACUGACCUCAGGUGGGGACCCACCCCAGGCUGGUGAGUAUGAUUGUGUAGGGCACACUGGCUCGGGGGUGCCCGUUCCCCCUCUACCGCUGCUAGCUCUCCAGCCCCCCCAUGACCCUGAUGUAUAAUGGGCAAAACAGAGGAUAGUAGCAGAAAGUGACAGAUUUGCACAGGUAAGGAGAAAAACAGCACUGCUGGAAAAUCAUCCAAUCAGAGGGCCCUGUUUGCCAAAGAUACAAUGGCCCCCAGGGUAGGUCACAUGAAGAAAACCAGAUUCAAAGGAAUUGGUGAAGACACAGGGAAGGACAGGCCAUGAGCUGCAGGUCCCUAAUGGGCCAGCAGUCCGAGGCAGGCAGAGAUCACGGGACUGAGGGCUAUCAUCAGAAGCUCUGGGAGCAACAUGAGACAGAAGACAGCCGGAGGCAAGUGUGGAUGAGAUGGUCUCAGGAAAGGCUGAAUAGAGAGAAGAGAAGUAAGUCUGUGAACCACCAGCAUUGAAGGAGGAGGCAGAGGCAGGAAAGCCUGAGGGGUCUGUCCUGAGCAGGAGACACUGGUACCUGUAAAACCAAGGGAGAGAAGAAGUGUACCCAGCAGUUAACCAUCCAACAGCCUCAGAUAAAAAACCACUUUCCCAGCUUCCCAGCAUGUAGGGGUGGCCAAUAAUACCUAAACAGAAGUCAUUAGGUAGGGUUUCUAAGAAAACCUUGUGCCUCUCCCUCUUCCUCCUUGCUGCCACCUGGAACUCGGAUGUGGUGUCUGGAGCUACUGCAGCCAUCUUGGACCAUUUGGCUACCAGAGGAGCAAGACACUGUGCUAAGGAGAGCAGAGCAGAAAGGUAGAUGCUGUUGGGGCAGAAGAAGAAAAUGCCCACGGGACAUCCAUCUCCACGUCAGGCACCUUCUCCAUCCCUGACCGGACCCUCAGAGAGAGUGUUUUAGGUGAAAGGCUGCGUGAAGGACGGUGGCACCUAUAAAGCUCAUGGGCUUUGGGGACAGGCUGACCUGCCUCCUGGUCCUGCAUUUUCUACUUACUCUCCCAGGGACCUCGCCAGUUUCUUUACUCUCUGAUGUCAGUCCUCCAUCUGUAAAACAGGGCUAACCACUCAGAAUAUCUGUGCAGAGAUUCAGUGAGCAUCCUAUUCUGAGAACAUCUCUCUUCUUGUUGUGGGGGAGGAGACCUGACAUGCAGGCUGUUCAACCACCAGCCUCCCCGACCCCCCUGAGAUGCCGCGUAACCUGGCAGACAGCUGCUUGUGAUGGGCCGAUGGCCCAAGCUCUGUUGAGGAAGUUUUCAAAGGAAAUUUGUUUAAUUCAUCUUCUGGAAAUAUCUGAGAUCUCGACAUAGAAAGAGUCAUUCUCCGUGCAGACGUGAUGCCAGGAGGGGUGACCAAUCACUUGCAGCCGACAUCUCAGGGUGGCUGGGCCUUGCUGUCUCUUCAUGUUAGAUGUGGAGCUCGGCUGGUUGAUUCAGAUGCGAUUUUGGUCUCUAGGGUCCAGCUGGCUCCAUCUGCAAUGGAAGCUGCUGGAUCUCAGGUUCUGCUUCCCAGGGACUGGCUGCUUGCUGCCCGGCUGCCCAGGGCUCCUUACGGAAUCCACGCCGACCUCGGGGCAGGGACAGGAUCCCGGAUGCCUAGAGCAGUGCUGGGCACUCAGCACCUAGACUCUUUCCGAAGGCUGUUGCGUCAGGGAACCCAGAGCUGCGCGGAGCUGAGUUUUCAGACAGUGGGAGGGUCCAUGUCUGCCAGGACAGUGAGACCUCAUGGAUCCUGCGGUACAGAAGCGUGUGGGCAGCGGUGCGGGGAGAGUUUCCAGAAACUGAAGCGUAUCCCUGUGAGCACUGAGGCGCGUCUCUGCCUGUGCGUUUCUGCCUGUGGCUGUCUGCAGGCACUGAUGUUGUAUGGAAGGGGGUGCCGAUAUUUUGACAUGGUAACAAGUGUAGCUUUCAUUCUUGGGAAUCCCUCUUUUAACCCCACUGCUGUGACAUUAAGAGCACUACCCGCCUCCCAUCCCAGACCUUGAAGCUGAAGAGGGUUAGACCCACUCACCUCCCGGGGGGGAAAGGAAGUGACAAUGGACUGAUGGAAAGGAUGCUUGGCUGCGGGCUCCCUGGGAGGGGGUGCUGCUGUGUAUCAGCCCCUUCAGAUGGACGUGGCAUCACAGGGUCAGUAAGACCUUGGUCCUCUUCCCAGGGGCUGGGCCAUUGGAGCAGGUCUGACAGGUAGCAAAUCCCUCCAAGUCCCCUCCUUCCCACCACUUCUCAGCCUGAUACAUACAAUAGACGUGGCUGUGAGAUGCGUCUGGGCUGAGCGGGCCUGGGAAAACCUUGGCAUCUCCCAGAAUGAGGCAGGAGGAGCCCGAGAGGGGGUAUAGGCUGGAGGGAGAGAGGACCGUGCUGCAGAGGGGGGCCUGGAGCCUGGGAGGGGAAGCACCUUCUCAGCUGGGGCAGAGCAGAGACAAGCUGGGUUCUCAGCAGCUCAGCAGCUGCCCGAGGCUCCGAGGGCCACAACCUGGGACCAGACACCAUCCACUCAGGCCUGGGUGGGAUUUACAGCCCUUUAGAGCUCAGACACCCCCCUGGUAAGCAACAGAGGAAGAACAUUGAACGGACCGGGGGAAACAACUCAUACACGUAAAAUGCAUAUGACUACUUUUUCUGUAAUUGACAGAAUGGAGGCU